AAACCAACAGGGAUUGCCCUAGUAACGGCGAGUGAAGCGGCAACAGCUCAAAUUUGAAAGCUGGCCUUCGGGUCCGCAUUGUAAUUUGUAGAGGAUGCUUUGGGUGAAACGCCAGUCUAAGUUCCUUGGAACAGGACGUCAUAGAGGGUGAGAAUCCCGUAUGUGACUGGAAAUGUUAACCUAUGUAAAGCUCCUUCGACGAGUCGAGUUGUUUGGGAAUGCAGCUCUAAAUGGGAGGUAAAUUUCUUCUAAAGCUAAAUAUUGGCGAGAGACCGAUAGCGCACAAGUAGAGUGAUCGAAAGAUGAAAAGCACUUUGGAAAGAGAGUUAAAAAGCACGUGAAAUUGUUGAAAGGGAAGCGCUUGCAAUCAGACUUGUUUAAACUGUUCGGCCGGUCUUCUGACCGGUUUACUCAGUUUGGACAGGCCAGCAUCAGUUUCGGCGGCCGGAUAAAGGCUCUGGGAAUGUGGCCUUCACUUCGGUGAAGGUGUUAUAGCCCAGGGUGUAAUACGGCCAGCCGGGACUGAGGUCCGCGCUUCGGCUAGGAUGCUGGCGUAAUGGUUGUAAGCGACCCGUCU
rnacentral:rRNA from 1 species